rnacentral:rRNA from 1 species
UGGGGAAUAUUGGACAAUGGGGGGAACCCUGAUCCAGCCAUGCCGCGUGUGUGAAGAAGGUCUUAUGGUUGUAAAGCACUUUAAGCGAGGAGGAGGCUACUGAGACUAAUACUCUUGGAUAGUGGACGUUACUCGCAGAAUAAGCACCGGCUAACUCUGUGCCAGCAGCCGCGGUAAUACAGAGGGUGCGAGCGUUAAUCGGAUUUACUGGGCGUAAAGCGUGCGUAGGCGGCUUUUUAAGUCGGAUGUGAAAUCCCCGAGCUUAACUUGGGAAUUGCAUUCGAUACUGGGAAGCUAGAGUAUGGGAGAGGAUGGUAGAAUUCCAGGUGUAGCGGUGAAAUGCGUAGAGAUCUGGAGGAAUACCGAUGGCGAAGGCAGCAAUCUGGCCUAAUACUGACGCUGAGGUACGAAAGCAUGGGGAGCAAACAGG